CUGAACUCGAGUAGGCCCCAAGCAAGGAAGGCAGGCAGGCAGGCAGGAGGAAGCAGGCAGCAGACUCUCUGCCCAGACCAGACCAUCCAGAACAGCUAUUGCUAGGUCCGAGAGUACUAAAGUAAUCCAACUCAUUUGCAUUCAAGUUCUAUUUUCUGAAGCUGCAAACCAAGAAUGAAAAAUGCACCCCCCAAAUGAUGAAGAAGAGAACAGUUGGAGACUCAGAAGCCCUCAGCUUGCCAGUCCGUGAUAUUAGCUGAGGUGAACUACUCAAACUCCUCCUGUCCAGUUCCAUUACCCGAGAAGGCCCAUGAUAACUAGAUUCUGAGGAGGACCUUGAAGAAGAAACAUGAACGUCCACAUGGACUUUAUUUUCAGUCUUCUUCUUGAACUUUAAGGUGAGGAACUUUUUAAAAGAGGACUUCUUCUUCUUGCAGUACUUAUCAGGAGAUUCAGUGUCUAUUAAAAGUGAAGGUGAA